GUAGGUGGCAAGCGUUGUCCGGGAAUUAUUGGGGCGUAAAGCGCGCGCAGGCGGUUCUUUAAGUCUGAUGUGAAAGCCCACGGGCUCAACCGUGGAGGGUCAUUGGAAACUGGAGGACUUGAGUACAGAAGAGGAAAGCGGAAUUCCACGUGUAGCGGUGAAAUGCGUAGAGAUGUGGAGGAACACCAGUGGCGAAGGCGGCUUUCUGGUCUGUAACUGACGCUGAGGCGCGAAAGCGUGGGGAGCGAACAGGAUUAGAUACCCUGGUAGUCCACGCCGUAAACGAUGAGUGCUAAGUGUUAGGGGGUUUCCGCCCCUUAGUGCUGCAGCUAACGCAUUAAGCACUCCGCCUGGGGAGUACGGCCGCAAAGGCUG
rnacentral:rRNA from 1 species